CUGACGCAGAGGCCUGGGGAAAAGUGGUGGACUGAGAGGUGUCUGUGUCCUCCGGUGCUGGCACCAGAAGUCAGCAGUGGCGGCCCAGGAUGUAGGCGUGAGGUGCGCGGAGCCCAGGGAGACGGCGAGGCUCAUCCACGCGUCCAGACACAGGCUGUGCUCCACGGUGCAGCCAACACAGUGACAACUGCACUAUCGCCCCCUUUCUUCUUUUUCAAUGAGAAUCUUGAAACAUAGAAUUUUCUGGAAUCCCUGUUUGCAGUGAGUGAGUCGUGUGUUCCAUGCAUCCCUGGGUAGCCGAGCUCAUCCCGUCUGCAGGCACGGCCUGUCUUGUCCCGGCCUGAGCUGUGUUUUCAGACAAAAUGGCAUUUAAACUCUGAAUUUUCUCUCCAGAAAAUGACAUCACAAAAUUGUAGCCCUCUGAAGAGGCAACCAUGGAGCAGGCAGUGAAAUUACGCAGAAAUAGAAUUAUUACUGGUGGUGUCAAUUAUAAUUUAAAAAGAUUGUUAUUUCCUGGAUAUUAUUGAUACUUUCUAAAAUUUAUUAUUUCUUUUCUCAUUCUAAAUAAAUAUUCACUUUGUGCCUCACUUUA